rnacentral:lncRNA from 1 species
CACUUCCUGACAAGAGACGUUGGUCGAAACAAAACUGCAUUUUAUCGGAUUCGCACAUAUAAUUAAUUGGCAAAUAACAUUAAUUUGAAUGGGAUCUGAUUGGAAAGAAAUGUUUUUAUUUUCUUUACAAAAUUAAAAUUAAUAUUAAUGAUGGUGAUGAUGAUGAUGAUACAUAAACGUUUAACUGAAGUUGUAUUUGCAGCAAGAAUUCAGGAAUUAGGUUAGAGAAGCUAAAAACAGGAAAAAAAAAAUAAUAGAGAUAAUAAACACAAGUUGAAGAAAAGAAACAUUUUUCGAAGUGUUUAAAAGAAAAAAAGAAUCUAGUGACCACAAGAAGAAAGCCAUAACCAAAAUUAUAAAAAUAUUUUUCUUAUGAAAACCUUAAAAUUCCUCAAGACUCGAAAUAAAUAAUUUUGUAGCAGACACAAUAAUAAAUUUGGCAUCAGAAUUUCCAUUGUCUGUAUAAUUUCGUUAUUAUUAAAAAAAAUACAAGAGUUUUAUUGUUUUUCUUUCAAACGGACAAUUUAAGUCUUUACAUUUAAAAACAUUGGGAAAAAUGUGAUGUGGUGACAUUCAUGCUUGUUUGGUGAGGGUUAUUAAGAAGCCUGAAUAAAACGAAUUAACUUUUAAUUAACGCAGGGAAUCGAAACCACCAGAUUGUAACAAAUUAAUGGGAAAAAAUUCUUUGACUAAGCAGAAAGUCUUCGAUUUAUAAAAGAAAAAAGAAAUCUAAUUUCGAGAUGCUGUGACAGUCAUCCAUUUCCUAAAGACCCUAAUUUAAUUAUACUAACACUAAUAAUGAUUGUAACAUAAUAUUUUGUCUAUUCAGUAAUUUAUUGCGAUUUUUGGUUUUAUUUCGAAGGCCUGUGUGGGGGAGUCGGGUUAGGUUUUAUUAGAGUUUCCAGUCAACAAUUAUUAAAUCCACCUCCAUAUUGUAUUUAGAAGAAACUGAAUUAAUUAUGAACAAUCUUCCAUUAUCAUUAUUAUUAUUAUCAUUAUUAUUAUUAUUAUUAUUAUUAUGACCACUGGGCAAUGUAUGAAACGUUGAAGCUAUUGGUUGGACAAUGGAUGCUCGUUAGUUUAUAUAAAAUAUAUAUGUAGUUAUUGAAAAUGUAAUCUGAAAAGCCAUAGGUAAAAAAAAAAUUGUUUUAAUGCUGAUCAAAAAGCACAAUAAAUAUAUGUGUGUGUGUGGUUGACCCUUAAUUAAUCUAAGAAAGUCUAAUGAAGCAAUCAAACAGAUCUAUAAUAAAGCCAUCGUAAUUUUUAGAUAUUUAUACGUAGAAUAAAAAGAUACGUGAAUAACAAUAAAAGUUAAAGGGCAAAACAUCCCCCCCAAAACAACAUUUAAAGGCGGCGGCAGCGGCGGGAGGGGGGCAUUAAUUAACCUCUCAUCAACGAAUGUACGUAUUAAUUUCAAAGUAUAUCGUUUAUGAACCCAUAUUGAAGAUCACUGUAUCAUUAGAGGAUUUCUUCGUCUAUUAUUUUACGUAAAAAUCCCAUUAAAAAGGGCAAUAGUAUUGUUGCAGCACGUUGUAUUUACGUGUAUUUUUAAUGGUUUUGGCUGGCAGUGCUUGCUGGCGGCCAUAUUCUUGUUCUUGUUGGGUUUGCCACUAUUUUUUAAAGCUAAAGUAUCCGCGAUAAAAAUAGAAAUGUGUGUAAUAAUGUUAACUUAACUGUGUCAUACAGCAUCUAAUUUUCGUUCUACUUGUAAAACUAUGAUGAUAAUUCAGUGAAUUUAGUAGAAUGGACAUCUCCAUAUGGUAAACCAAGUGGAUUCUGAUAUAUUGAGUGUAUGUUGAGGUUUGAGACGUAAUUUAAAUUAAUAUUUUAGAAGAUUGCAAACUGAAGUUUAUAUGAAUACAAGUCAAAAUUAAUAAAUAUUAAAAUCACAAUAGAGAUAGGUUUAAUAAUAUUAUGAAUAUAUAUAUAUAGGUAAUAAAUCUAUAUAUGAAAUAUGAAGUGUAGUGUGGUAAGGCUUUAUGUAAAAUAACGUUGUAAGUCGUAAUUAUUGUAGCAUAUGGACGAUUUAACGUGUCGAUUUAUCUCUAAAAAUAUCAGUGAUUUGAGAUUUUUCUUUGUUUACUUUUCUCCAUGACGACUGUGGCAGCUGCUCAGCCUUCACUCACACUCAAGUAUUGAGUGAGAGUUCAAACAUGGAAGAGACUUAGCAAAGCGCGGGAGAAAUGGAGAGAUGUUGAGUGGAAGGGGUGGAGGGGAGUGACAAAGAGAAAAAGAAAGAAGGAAAGAUAUAAAAGAAUCCCUUUUAAAUACACAGAUUACAACAUCCACGAAGAAAUUGAAAUUAUUUGAAGCCUUUCUUAUAGAAAUAUAACGUUUCCUGGGAAGAUCAGAAAAGUAUUUUACAGAUAUUUUAGUGAAUGCUGUUGGAAGAUUCUACAGGUAGAACCACAAGAAAUUAGACCCUCACCACCAUGUCUGCGACAAAGAUGACAAUAGGAACAUCAUGAUCGCUGUCGUCAAGAGGAGCAAUAAUAACGGUUUCUUAAAGAAACAAUACAAAAUUUUGCUGAAAUCUUGUUCCUGCUCAUCACUACAACUUAUAAGUUUAAACACCGGUCAUUUUAAUGAAUUCGCCUUUUAUGGCCUUGUAAUGUCUGAAGCAGACAAACCCGAUGAUCUAAAGCCAUCAUACGGGUUCGAUUUCCAAUUAAAGGCAAUUUAUUUCGUUCAAACCAUGAAUGCCGUAUGAAGGAUGAAUAAUAUCUCGACCUUGCAUUCCUCUCCUCUGAAAUAUAGAACAGAAAAUAAAAUAUGAAGGUGUUUUGAA